UUGCCAAGCGAAUUUGUCGAGUUUAACUUUUUGAAAGGGUUGUUCUAUGACUUCGCGAUUCAUACGUCGAACGCCGACAACGCAGACUGUAACAUCCCAAUUUUCAAAACCCUUCAUGUGCAUUGCAUAUCAUGAGCAUCAUGUCACUCUUGCAUUUAAUCACCUUUGAAAACCUUAAAAUUUACCCAGAAACUCUUUUGCAAAUAGUGCCUUGAUUUGAAUUUUGGCUUCGAUCUUGCUUAUGAGCAUUAUGUACUUUAACCCAUGAAGGUUUUGGUAUAAAAAGAGGUUGAAUGCAUAUAUAUAGCUAUCCCAUAUAUUGGCCUUUGAAAUUAUUUCGAAAAACAAUUUAUUUUGAUAUUCUAUAAGGCCCUAAAGGCUAUUCUAUAAUCAAAAGUAUUUUUAAAUAUUUUAUUUUGAGGAAAUUCUUGUUCCGAAAGUUAGAUCAUAUGAAAAUAUGAUUUUACAAAUUUUGUUGCAAUUUAUUUGGAGUGAUUUGGAGCUUUGAAUCAAUUUUAAGGUUCAAAAACAGAAAAUAGAAAAAAGAAAAGAAAAACUGAAGCCGAAUCGGACCGGAUCGACCGGCCCAGCCCGAGCCGCCUGGACUCUCUCAAUGACCGGCAGGCCCCGCCAUCGUCCCUACCUCCAACCGCCUCCGGAUUCCAUGCCGCGCACGACCGCGAGUCUGCCCACGAUGCCUCUCGCGAUUUCGUCGCGCACGAGCCACCAUAUUCGAAACUCCGCGGGUCACUUUGAAUCCCCCGGCCUCCUCUACCUUUUCCCCAAACUGCCUCGCCCGAUUUCGCCUUCUCCUCACGUUAAUUUCUCGCCAGAGGAAGUUCCCGACCGCCGCCGUCCUCGCGAAACCGCCGACACCCCGAUGAGUAUUUCACCCGUUGGCCGC
rnacentral:lncRNA from 1 species